GACGAACGCUGGCGGCGUGCUUAACACAUGCAAGUCGAACGGAGUGGCGAACGGGUGAGUAACGCGUGGGUGAUCUGCCUUGCACUUCGGGCUAAGCUUGUGAAACUGGGUCUAGUACCGGAUAGUGCAAGAUGAGCUGGCGGCCUAUCAGCUUGUUGGUGGGGUAAUGGACUACCAAGGCGUCGCGGGGUAGCCGGCCUGGGAGGGUGUACGGCAACAUUGGGAUGGAGAUACGGCCCAGACUCCUACGGGAGGCAGCAGUGGGGAAUAGUGCACAAUGGGAGGAAGCGUGAUGCAGCGACGCGGCGUGGGGGAUGAAGGCAUUCGGGUUGUAAACUCCUGUCGACAGGGACGCGGUACCUGUAGAAGAAGCACCGGCUAACUACGUGCCAGCAGCCGCGGUAAUUC
rnacentral:rRNA from 1 species